AGAGUUUGAUCAUGGCUCAGGACGAACGCUGGCGGCGUGCUUAACACAUGCAAGUCGAGCGGGAACCCAGGGAGGGGUAACCCUCCUUGGGGGAGAGCGGCGAACGGGUGAGUAACACGUGGGCAACCUGCCCCAGACACUGGGAUAACUCCGGGAAACCGGGGCUAAUACCGGAUACUUCGACCGGACCGCAUGAUCUGGUCGAGAAAGCUCCGACGGUCUGGGAUGGGCCCGCGGCCUAUCAGCUUGUUGGCGGGGUAACGGCCCACCAAGGCGACGACGGGUAGCUGGUCUGAGAGGACGGCCAGCCACACUGGGACUGAGACACGGCCCAGACUCCUACGGGAGGCAGCAGUGGGGAAUCUUGCGCUAAUGCGCGAAAGCGUGACGCAGCGACGCCGCGUGGGGGAUGAAGGCCUUCGGGUUGUAAACCCCUGUCGGGGGGGACGAAUACUCGGCCUCGAAUAGGGGACCGAGGGUGACGGUACCCCCAAAGGAAGCACCGGCUAACUCCGUGCCAGCAGCCGCGGUAAUACGGAGGGUGCAAGCGUUGUCCGGAAUCACUGGGCGUAAAGCGCGCGUAGGCGGCUUUUUAAGUCACUUGUGAAAUCCCGGGGCUCAACUCCGGGGCUGCAGGUGAGACUGGAUGGCUAGAGCUCGGUAGAGGCGAGUGGAAUUCCCGGUGUAGCGGUGGAAUGCGUAGAUAUCGGGAAGAACACCAGUGGCGAAGGC
rnacentral:rRNA from 1 species